ACUCAGGAAAAAAAAAUAGAACGCAGAGGAGGUGAAAAAAAAAAGCCCCAGGGCUUGUUAUGGAGUUCGUGUAAGAGAAACACGGAGAUUUCCACCUUCUCUACCAGUUAAACCAGUAUCUCUGGAUAGAACACACUCAAGUACGACGACAGUUUUGUGGUCCCUGAUGGCUUCGCACAGUGAUACUCUGGUGGUGUUCUUUGGGGCAACAGCUGGUGCAAAUGGGGGUAAACUGGGGUCGGAUGAGAGGGAAAUAAUUCUCUUGGUGUGGCAAAUUGUGGACCUACGUGAGAAAAAGGUUGCGAAGCUUCAUAGAUGUCUUGUCAAGCCAGACACUUUGGAAUUGACAGAGCAGUGUAAAGAGGAGACUGGACUGACUUUGGAUGACCUUGUCAAAGCUGAGCCCCUGGACAAAGUUCUUCAACAGUUUCACCAGUCAGUGUCAGCGGAACUGAAAUGCCUGGGCAGGAGCUCCUACACACUUUGUGUCAACAGUCCCCUUGUUAUUCGACAGGCCCUCCAUCCAGAAGCUUCCAAAAAGAAUUUUGUUUUAGCUGAAUGUUUCUUUUCAUUUGUGGACUUGAGGAAGCAGUUUCACACAUGUUGUCCCAAUGCGGGUCCAGUGCAGAAGCUCACACUCUCCACCAUGUUGGAAUGUGUUGGUCUUCCUGCUGUAUCUGAACAGGUGAUGGGUGUGAAGGAAGUCACAACCAUGGUGCAGCUGGUACUCUGUAUCUUGGCUGAGCCCUACAAUCACCAGUUCUCAUGUGUUGAAACUGUGAAGUACAAGUUUGAUUCUGGCACAUGCAGUAAGACUGAGCCAGUGGACAGCGAGACGGUGAUCAGAGCACGGGGCCUUCCGUGGCAGUCAUCAGACCAAGACAUCGCUCGCUUCUUCAAAGGCCUCAACAUUGCAAAGGGUGGUGUGGCUUUAUGUCUAAACGCGCAGGGCAGGAGGAACGGUGAGGCCUUGGUUCGCUUCAUCAAUUCAGAACACAGAGACCUCGCUCUGGAGCGUCACAAGCACCACAUGGGCAGUCGAUAUAUUGAGGUGUAUAAGGCGACAGGGGAGGAAUUCCUCAAGAUAGCUGGAGGUACGUCAAAUGAGGUAGCCCAGUUUCUAUCCAAAGAGAACCAGGUGAUUAUUCGUAUGCGGGGGUUACCAUUUACCGCUACACCCCAGGAAGUGCUGACUUUCCUCGGCCCUGAGAGCCCAGUUACAGAUGGUACUGAAGGUCUGCUCUUCGUCAAGUAUCCUGACGGACGUCCCACUGGCGAUGCCUUUGUGCUCUUCUCUUGUGAAGAAUAUGCCCAGAAUGCCCUGAAGAAGCACAAACAGAUUCUGGGGAAGCGAUAUAUUGAGCUGUUUCGGAGUACUGCAGCCGAGGUACAACAGGUCCUGAAUCGUUAUAUAUCUACUCCUCUGAUCUCCACACUACCCUCUUCACCCAUUGUACCCGUCCCAGUCCUUGCAACACCUCCCUUCCUUCCCACAGCGAGCAGCACGCGGGACUGUGUCCGCCUCCGAGGCCUGCCCUACACCGCUGGCAUUGAAGAUAUUUUAGAGUUCAUGGGAGAGCACACUGUUGACAUCAAACCCCACGGAGUCCACAUGGUCCUCAACCAGCAGGGGCGGCCCUCUGGAGAUGCCUUCAUCCAGAUGAAGUCAUCUGACAAGGCUUUUAUGGUGGCCCAGAAGUGCCAUAAAAAGACAAUGAAGGACCGUUAUGUAGAGGUGUUUCAGUGCUCCACAGAGGAAAUGAGCAUUGUCCUGAUGGGAGGAACCCUUAACCGUAGUGGCCUCUCUCCUCCACCCUGUAAACUUCCAUGUCUGUCUCCCCCCACUGCCUAUGCUGCCUUUCCCACACCUCCUGCUAUUCUCUCAGAGGCUGCCCUCUAUCAGCCCCCCCUGCUGGCUGCACCCAGACCGACUCACACAGCCACGCAUACCCCCACUCACGCCCUGGCCUACUACCCCCCUCAGCCUCACCUCUACAUGAACAUGAACAUGAACUACACGGCUUACUACCCCAGCCCCCCGGUAUCGCCCUCCACAGUCGGCUACUUUGCAGCGCCACCAGGAGCAAUGGCGGCAGCAGUUGCCGCUUCACCCCAUCCUGCCGCCGCGGCUGCGUCACCUGUGCUGCCUCAGCAUGGUGCUCUGGUCAGGAUGCAGGGCCUCCCAUACAAUACUGGAGUAAAGGACAUCCUCAGCUUCUUUCAGGGCUACCAGCCCAAAUUAGCUGGACUUCUGUGAAACAGGUACGAACCCUGACUGGUGCGGCACGUCGGGGGACGGGGUUGGAGCUGAGGUGGAGGGGUUGUGUUGGUUGAGUUUGCAUGGUGCAGCCCUGAUACUGUGUGGAUGAAUGAGGUCUGAUUGGGAGACUGAGUGGAUUACUGCUGGGUUUAGCUCGUAUCACAUUUACUGCUCAUAAAACUGUUGCCAGUUUUUACUCAGAACGGUCGACUCUGCCCCUGACUGUUGGCUGAACUACAGUAAAGGUAUCUGUACUUAGGUGUGAGACUUUCUGGCUGUAUCAUGGUUCUCACACUGGUCCUGGGUGAGAAAGUGGUUCCUACAGUAGUACUGCUGUCUUUGUUUCCACACACAGCCCCUGACUGUGAUUCACGUUAAGCAUGUAGAUUCAUGUGUCUCACUCCUCGUUCAUGGAGAGCUCCUGCACUGCGUGUCUGCCAUAUUUCCCAGCUUACUGGCCAGAGAUCUGGUGUGUUUAUUUGUUGAAGAGCAAAGUACCAGCUCUUCAUCAGCUGGACCACAACAGAAUGUCACAUUAGCACUGGGUGAUGUGCACGUGCCCCACCCCAAUAUUGAUUGAUAUAGACAGGAAUCGAUCAAGAGACAAUCUUCCUCGCCACCGAGUGUUCGCCUUGAUGACCGUUUUAUAAUGCUGCCAGUUUAUAAAAUACCCUGUUAAUGACUGAAACCCAAAACCUAUGUUGGGAAGCACUUAUAACGUAAGGUAUAAAGUGUCAAACACAUAACAUAAUAAUGAUGAUAAUUGUUAUUAUUAUUGUUGUUGGUGUUGUAGCAGAUGAUAGUGUGUAGCUCAGUAGUCCUGUACAGACCUUAUGUCCUUACUACUACUGUCUUUCUACUACUACUACUUCUACUACCAUUUCUUCAGCUACUGCUUCUACUUCUCAUCUUCACAUAUCUUGCAGCAGUGUUAAAAAAAGAUUUAGGUCUUCUUCCAUUGUGGCAGGAGCGUAUGUCUUGGGCUUUUAUUGUGAAAGGUCAAGACAGGAGUCAUGUCUCUCUUGUCUUUGUUGUCUGAUGGUGCCUUCAGUGUGGGAAAACUGCUGCCAAUUUCUAUUCAUGCAAAGAGCCCAACGAUCUUCCUGUUAUCCUGCUACAAGUAUAGUCAGUGUAACCAUAACCCCCGGUUAGAUACCCUUUGUCCUCAACUUAAGCAGAUGAUAGAAGUUCACCUUGAGUUGUUUUUCUGCCCCCCCCCCCCCCCCCAUAGCUUUCUUCAAUAGCCCCCGCUAAAAAAAAAAGUUGCAGUACAAAAUAGUCUAGCACUUUCAUGUGAUGAGCAAACUUUAAAAACAGCAGACGUUCUCACAUCUAUUUCUGCUGUGUAAUAGGAAGUUGGAUCUGCUCAUAUGGAGUAUACAUGUCCUUAUACAGCGGGUAAAAUAAGUAUUGAACACGACACCAGUUUUGUGAGUAAAUAUAUUUCUAAAGGUGUCAUUGACAUGAAAUAUUCACCAGAUGUCUGUAACAACCCAAGUCUUCCACACAUGCAAAGAAACCAAAACAAAUGAGUGCAGAAAUUAAGUUAUGUGUAAUAAUGUGAAAUGAUACAGGGGAAAAAAUAUUGAACAUGCUUCCUGAAAUGUAUUUAAGAAUUUAUACAAAAGCCUUUGUAGAUAAUGACAGCUUCAAGAUACCUCCUGUAUGGAGACACUAGUCACAUGCAUUGAUCAGGUGUGAUUUUGGCCCAUUCUUCCACAGAAGAAGCAAGAAAUCUUGAAGGUUCUGUGGACCUCUUCUAUGAACUCUGAUCUUUAGUUCUUUCCAUUGAUUUUCUGUUUGAUUCAAGUCAAAUGAUUGGCUGCGUCAUUCUAUCAGCUUUAUUUUCAUUCUCUGUAACCAACUGAGAGUUUCCUUGGCUGUGUGUUUGGGAUCAUUGUCUUGCUGAAAAGUCCACCCUCAUUUCAUCUUCAUCAUCCUGGCAGGUUUAUAUGAAGUAUGUCUCUAUACAUUUUUCUAUUCAUCUUUCCAUCAAUUAAAUGAAGUUUGCCAGCCAUUGCUGAAAAACAGCCCCACACCUGAUGUUCCCACUUCCAGAUGUCACUGUUCACAUGGUGUUUUGGGGGUGAUGUACCAUUUGUGGUGUGUAUUAUGGCAUCCAAAGGGUUCAAUUUUGGUCUCAUCUGACCAGACUAUAUUCUGCCAGUAUUUCACAGGCUUGUUUAAAUGUGCAACAAACUUUAAACGAGUUUCAACAUGCUUUUUCUACAGCAAUGGAGUCUUUUGUGGUGAGUGUGCAUACAGACCAUGGUGGUUGAGUGCAUUACUUAUUUUCUUUAAAACAGUAUUACUUAUUAAUUUCAGGUCUUUCUGAAGUGGUCCUUGGUUCUUGGACAACUCUUCUGAUAAUCUUCUGAUAACAGUCCUUUCUCAGAAAUCUUGUGAGGAGCACCUAGUCAUAAAUGGCUUAUGGUGAAAUGAUCUUCUUUCCACUUCCAGAUUACGGCCCCAACAGUGCUCACUGGAACAUUCAGAAGUUUAGAUUAUCCUUCUAUAACCAAUGCCAUCAGUAUGUUUUGCAACAAUAAAGUUGCGAAGAUCUUGAGAAUUCUUUACUUUGUCUCAUCAUGAGAUGUUUCUUGUGUGACACCUUGAUAAUGAGACACCUUUUUAUAGACCAUCAGUUGGGAGUCGGCUAACUAAUUUGCACUGACAAGGGGCAGGACUGCUUUCUAAUUACUGAUAGAUUUCAGCUGGUGUCUUGGCUUUCCAUGUCUUUUUGUACCCCCUUUCUUCAGGUGUUCAAUACUUUUUUCCUGUGUCAUUUCACAUUAUUACACAUAACUUAAUUUAUGGACAUCUAUGGUUUGAUUUCUUUAUACAUGUGUAGUGGGUUGUUACUGACAUCUGGUGAAAAUUUUGUCAAUCGCACCUUCAGAAAUAUAUUAAUUGAGAAAUAUGAAGUAUUCAAUACUUAUUUUUACCUGCUGUAUCUUAUUGUUUAAUGUAAAUCUUAUCAUAAUGCUUCAUCUUGAUCAUUUUAUCGCCCAGCCCUCAUGCCUGCUUUUUCCCUUUCUUCACCUUUUUCCACUUCUUUGUGAGAUUGACACAUGUGAACGUCCUGCAUACAGUCCGGUCAACUGUUGCAUUACUCUCUCUAUUCACCUCCACUUCACCAUUUCCCUCCUACUCUUCCUUCUAUACUUCUGCUCUCUUCACUUGUUUAUUGACAUGUUCAUCUCUCAUUUUCAGUCAUCAUCCAGUGAGGUUUGGUGCAGCAGGUAAAAGGGGAUGAGCACAUACAGGUGCAUCUCAAAAUUGUAAAAAUGUUCUAUGUUCUAGACUCAAUAAAUAUAAACUAACACAUUUCAAGCAUUUUUAAAAUUUUAUUUUGAGAAUUAUAGCAGACAGAUCCAAGAAUUAGAAAAAAUUGUAUCUCAAAAUAUUAGAGUAUUUCAUUUAAGGUUUGAGCUAUGCAGGAUAAGUACCAGUAUCUGUUAGUCUGGUUCAGUGCAAGCAACCCACAAUCAUGGGGAAGACUGAAAUGACAGUUGUCCAAAAGACACUCAGUGACACCCUCCGCAAGGAGGCUAAACCACAGAAGGUCAUUGCUAAAAGGGCUGGCUCUUGUCAGUGCUAUAUCAAGUCAUAUUCAUAGAAAGUUGACUGGGAGGGAAAAGUGUGGUAGGAAAAGAUGCACAAACAACAGGGAUGACUGCAGCCUUGACAAGAUUGUCAAGAAAAGUUGAUUUAAGGAACUUAGGGGAGCUUCACAAGGACUGGACCGAGGCUGGAGUCAGUGCAUCAAGAGCCACCAUGCACAAACGUGUCCCACAAAUUAGUUACAAGUGUUGAAUUCUAAGUAUCAAGCCACUACUAAACUAGAGACGUUGGAAGAGUCUUACAUGGGCCACAUUGCUCAGUGAUCCAAAGUCCAAGUUUUUGUAUUUUGUUUGUAGGAAGAGUGGAGAGGCAUGGAAUCCAAGUUGCUUGAAGUCCAGUGUGACGUUUCCACAGUUGGUGAUUUUGGGUGCUAUGUUAUCUCCUGGUGUUGAUCCACUGUGUUUUAUCAAGUCUGAAAUCAACUCUGUUAUCUACCAGAUUUUAGAGCACUUUAUGCUCCUAUCUGCUGACAGACUUUAUGGAGAUGAUGAUUUCCUUUUCCAGAAGGACUACCCACAGAAGCAUCUACUCAUAGUGCCAAAACUUCUAGUAACUGGUUUGCUGACCAUGGUAUUACUGAACCUGAAUGGCCAGUCAACUCGCCUGACGUGAAGCCCACAGAGUAUCUAUUGUCAAGAGGAUGAUGAGACCCCAGAAACAACAGUACAGACUGGCUGAAAGUUGCUAAAGCAAUCUGGGCUUUCAUAACACCUCAGGAGUGCUACAGGCUGACCUCCAUGCCAUGCCACAUUGAUGCACUAAUUCAUGCAAAAGGAACUCCAACCAAGUAUUGAGUGUGUAAUUGAACAGACCUCUCAGAAGUUCCACGUUUUUGUCUCAUGUGUUCUUUUGGAUUGCUCUGAUGAAAUACUGUAAUAUUUUGAGAUAUGCACUUUCAUUUUUUUUUUUUUUUUUUUAGUUGUAGGCUGUAAUUAUCAAAAUUCAAAUGAAAAAAAUGCUUGAAAUAUUUAAGUUUAUAUGUAAUGAGUCUAGAAUAUACACUCACCGACCACGUUAUUAGGUACACCUGUUUGGUUGCUUGUUAACAGGCAUCUAGAUGUGAAGAUGACUUGCUGACGUUAAAAUGGAGCAUCAGAAUGUGGAGGAAAGGGUAUUUAAGUGACUUUGAACAUGGUAUAGUUGUUGGUGCAAGACAGCCUGGUCUGAGUAUUUUAGAAACUGCUGAUCAACUGGGAUUUCCAUGUCCAACCAUCUCCAGGGUUUACAGAGAGUGGGCCGAAACAGGAAGUGAGUGGCAGUUGUGUGUAUGAAAAUGCCUCAUUUAUGUCAGAGGAGAAUGGACAGUCUGGUUCAAUGGGCAAUUACGUGAUGCCAACAUUUUGGUAUGGACAAAUGUCUCCAAGGGAUGUUUCCAACACCUUGUUGAAUCUAUGCCACUAAGAAUUAAGGCAGUUCUGAAGGCAAAAUGGGGUCCAAUCUGUUACUAGUAAGUGUAUGUAGAUACAAUUUCUGUGGCAUGACUGUUUGAACAGAGCCUGAUGAUGUCUUCAAAAAACAAAAUCUCAAAGUUGAACACUGGGAUGCGUGUAUAGGAAUAAGUGAAUGUCAUCCUGUCGUACUUGAGACAAACAGAAUGUACAUUUUGGUCCGUGUCUGAAAUGUUGGAUUAAUUUUAAAGGAGCUGUCCUUUUUUCUUUUUUUUAACAUCCUAUAAAUCUAACACACCAGAUGCAGCUAAUCAGCUGGAUCUCUGAAUCCUGCUGGGCCUGAUGGGAAAUAUGGCUGUGCUGGUGCUCCUGCAGGACGAAGAGUGAGGAAAAUGUCACGAGUCCAGAUUUGUGAAUGUGCUUGUGAUUUGGUGUCUGCUACAAAGUGUGUGUCAGUUUCAAGAUUGUGGGUUUAUUUAAUUACUUGUGUGUAAAAACGCUGUGGGGGCUUCCAACCCUGACUGUCCGUUCGUUAUUAUGCUAUCUGUAGUACGCCCCUGACGAAUACAACAUGGUUCAGAUGAGUGAACAGGCCAGGAGUCUGAUUCAGCCUAAAGAAUGGCUCUGUCUUUAGGGACUCGCCCCAAGCUCCAGCCUGAUGCUGUUGUCAUACUGUACAAUCUGAGCGGUCAGUGCAGC